AGCCGUUGGCGGCCCGCGUGCCCGCCCUGCGGACGUAACUGCCACUCCGCGGCGCCGGUAACGGCCGGACGGCGGUGACGCUGGACACACUGCACCGGGGGACAGCCGAGUCCCAGAAUAAUCUGAUGAGUGUGGCUUAAAGAUACAGAUCACACGUGGAAUUGGGUGUUACUCAAGCAAACAAAAUAUCUGGGCAAUAUAUCUACUUUAUGCACUCAAGCAAGGAAGAAGUCCACAAGAACUCAUCAGUCUCCUGGUCUGCAAAGAAUACAGAAACAACAUGAGCACAGAA